GUGAUAUAAAAUAUAAGUAAAUGAUACGUUAACAUGAUUCAACGGUAAGGUUAUAAGACAGAAUAAGAUUUAAACCGAUUAAGGACUAUCCGGUAUUGUGAUUCCGGGGACGGAAUCUUAAUAAGGGGGAAAGAAUGUGAUAACCCAAAUUUGUGAGAAAUAUUAAAAUAAGAAUUAAACAAAUAAAAUUCUUAUUAUAUGAUAUGUUACGUGAG
rnacentral:lncRNA from 1 species